rnacentral:misc_RNA from 1 species
UACGUAGGGUGCAAGCGUUAUCCGGAUUCAUUGGGCGUAAAGUGUCGUGUAGGCGGUUUUCCGCAUCGUGUUUGAAAGCCCGAGGCUCAACCUCGGCGUUGGACACGAGAUGGGGAGACUUGAGGGAGGCAGAGGCAAGGGGAACUGACGGUGAAGCAGUGAAAUGCGUUGAUAUCGUCAGGAACACCAAAGGCGAAGGCACCUUGCUGGGCCACCCCUGACGCUGAGACACGAAAGCUAGGGGAGCGAAGCAG